CCUACGGGGGGCAGCAGUGAGGAAUAUUGGUCAAUGGCCGGAAGGCUGAACCAGCCAUGCCGCGUGAAGGUCAGUGCCCUAUGGGCGUUAAACUUCUUUUGUGCGGGAGCAAUAAUGGUCACGUGUGGCCAGACGAGAGUACCGUACGAAUAAGCAUCGGCUAACUCCGUGCCAGCAGCCGCGGUAAUACGGGGGAUGCAAGCGUUAUCCGGAUUUUUUGGGUUUAAAGGGUGCGUAGGCUGUGAGGUAAGUCAGCGGUGAAAUGCCGCCGCUCAACGGGGUGAAGUGCCAUUGAUACUGCCUUGCUGGAGUGCGGAUGCCGUGGGAGGAAUGUGUGGUGUAGCGGUGAAAUGCAUAGAUAUCACACAGAACAUCGAUUGCGAAGGCAUCACACGAAUCCGCGAUUGACGCUGAUGCACGAAAGCGUGGGUAUCAAACAGGAUUAGAUACCCGAGUAGUC
rnacentral:rRNA from 1 species